GACAGAGGGUGCAAACGUUGUUCGGAAUUACUGGGCGUAAAGCGCGUGUAGGCGGCCAUCUAAGUCGGGCGUGAAAUCCCACGGCUCAACCGUGGAAGUGCAUCCGAAACUGAAUAGCUAGAGUACGAAAGAGGGUCGCGGAAUUCCCGGUGUAGAGGUGAAAUUCGUAGAUAUCGGGAGGAACACCGGUGGCGAAGGCGGCGACCUGGGUCGAGACUGACGCUGAGGCGCGAAAGCGUGGGGAGCAAACAGG
rnacentral:rRNA from 1 species